rnacentral:rRNA from 1 species
AUACGGAGGAUCCGAGCGUUAUCCGGAUUUAUUGGGUUUAAAGGGUGCGUAGGCUGGUUUUUAAGUCAGCUGUGAAAUACCGACGCUUACCGUCGGCACUGCAGUUGAAACUGGGAGCCUUGAGAGUGCUUAAGAGGCAUGCGGAAUUCAUGGUGUAGCGGUGAAAUGCAUAGAUAUCAUGAAGAACCCCGAUUGCGAAAGCAGCAUGCUGGGGCAUAUCUGACGCUGAGUCACGAAAGUGCGGGUAUC